rnacentral:rRNA from 1 species
UAGUCCACGCCGUAAACGAUGGAUGCUAGACGUUGGCCAUAAGGUCGGUGUCGUAGUUAACGCGUUAAGCAUCCCGCCUGGGGAGUACGGUCGCAAGAUUAAAACUCAAAGGAAUUGACGGGGACCCGCACAAGCGGUGGAGCAUGUGGUUUAAUUCGAGGCAACGCGAAGAACCUUACCAGGACUUGACAUCCUGAUCGCGGAUUUUGUAAUGGAAAUCCUUCAGUUCGGCUGGAUCAGUGACAGGUGCUGCAUGGCUGUCGUCAGCUCGUGUCGUGAGAUGUUGGGUUAAGUCCCGCAACGAGCGCAACCCUCAUCCUGUGUUACCAGCGGUUCGGCCGGGGACUCUCAGGAAACUGCCCGUGACAAGCGGGAGGAAGGCGGGGAUGACGUCAAGUCAGCACGGCCCUUACGUCCUGGGGCCACACACGUGCUACAAUGGGUAGUGACAGCGCGCUGCAACCUCGC